GCCCUACGGGGCGCAGCAGGCGCGAAAACUUUACAAUGCGGGAAACCGUGAUAAGGGGACACCGAGUGCCAGCAUCAUAUGCUGGCUGUCCGGAUGUGUAAAAUACAUCCGUUAGCAAGGGCCGGGCAAGACCGGUGCCAGCCGCCGCGGUAACACCGGCGGCCCGAGUGGUGAUCGUGAUUAUUGGGUCUAAAGGGUCCGUAGCCGGUUUGGUCAGUCCUCCGGGAAAUCUGAUAGCUCAACUAUUAGGCUUUCGGGGGAUACUGCCAGACUGGAACCGAGAGUAA
rnacentral:rRNA from 1 species